ensembl:snRNA U6 U6 spliceosomal RNA
GUGCUCGCUUUGCCAGCACAUAUACUAAAAUUGGAACGAUACAGGGAUGAUAAGCAUGGCCUCUACACAAGGAUGAUGCAAAUUCAUGAAGUGUUCCAGAUUAAA